AUUUUAUUUAAUACAUGUGCAUUUGUAGAUAUAACUUACAAAAAUAAACACUUUAUUGUGACUGAGUUUAUGGAUGUAUCCAAAGGUUAUAUUGUUUGAAUCAUUUUAAAAAGUGCAAAUGAGCACACAGUAAAUGGAUUUUCUUUUGACCUUGUUACUUUUCUAAUUACUGUACCUGAAUUGGUCAGCCAGGAAGUAAACGAUAAUUGUUUUGCAGUCCAGGUGCUUCCAUGCAUUUCAUGAUUGCUUACUGUUUGGCAAAUAAAAGAGAUGGGGUGAGCAAGGAGAAUUUCCAGCAGCAUUGCUGGACAGGGUCAUUAUGAUAACAAUAUUGUUGCGUUUUAAAUCAC
rnacentral:lncRNA from 1 species